GAUUUAUCGUUGGGUGGGGGAUAACCGCGGGAAACUGCGGCUAAUACCGCAUGACGCCUGUGGGCCAAAGCAGCAAUGCGCCUGACGAGGAGCCUGCGUCCGAUUAGUUAGUUGGUUGGGUAAUGGCUGACCAAGGCGAUGAUCGGUAGCUGGUCUGAGAGGAUGAUCAGCCACACUGGGACUGAGACACGGCCCAGACUCCUACGGGAGGCAGCAGUGGGGAAUAUUGGACAAUGGGCGCAAGCCUGAUCCAGCAAUGCCGCGUGGAU
rnacentral:rRNA from 1 species